GAUGAAGAACGUAGCGAAAUGCGAUACUUGGUGUGAAUUGCAGAAUCCCGUGAACCAUCGAGUCUUUGAACGCAAGUUGCGCCUCAAGCCAUUAGGUUGAGGGCACGUCUGCCUGGGCGUCACAUAUCGUUGCCUGAUGCCAGUUUCCUCGUGAUGGGUGACUGUGCAGGGCGAAUGAUGGCUUCCCGUGAGCAUUGUUGCCUCAUGGUUGGUUGAAAAUUGAGUCCUUGGUAGGGAGCGCCGUGAUAGAUGGUGGUUGAGUGACGAACGAGACCCAAUCAUGUGAGACCCCUACCGAAUUUGGCCUUCAUGACCCACAUGCGUCUUUGGAACGCUCAUGACGAGACCUCAGGUCAGGCGGGGCUACCCGCUGAGUUUAAGCAUAUCAAUAAGCGCAGGA
rnacentral:misc_RNA from 1 species